rnacentral:misc_RNA from 1 species
CUCAGCAGUCUUACUACUGAGAUUUUUUUGACAAUUGCUAAUUGAUUGUUUUAAUUAAUCUACAGUGGCAAGCAACAAUCUAAUUGCUUUCAUCCUGUGAAAGCAAAACCUCUGCUCGGUAAUGUUUGAAAAUAUAAACCAUCACACAGUAAGAGAUGUUCAAAUUAAGCUUAGAACAACUUCGGAUUGAAUCAAUGAAAGAAUUCCAUAACAAUCUCAG